UUUGUAUCUCCUGGUCUCCCAGGGCAUAGCUGGCCUUGUCACAAAGUCAUCGUGUCUGUCUGCAGCAGAACCUGCUGCUCUGGCACUGGCCUCUUGGCUCUUGCAUUCCAAAAACGUGGCUUGAAUAGCUAGAAUGUCUCUCUCCUGAACUAUUAUGAAGAUUACACCUCCUACCUGAUCUGCUUACUAUCCCCCAUGCCAAAGCAAGCCAGGCACAUGCCACAGUUCCUUCCCAUGCUGUGACUUCUGUGAGAAUUAUGUUGAGGUGGG
rnacentral:lncRNA from 1 species